rnacentral:tRNA from 1 species
GAGGGUAUAGCUCAAGAGGUAGAGUGCCUGCUUAGCAUGCAAGAGAUGCAAGAGUUUCUGGGUUCAAUCCCUAGUACCUCCC